rnacentral:ribozyme from 1 species
ACAUUUUGGAACGUAUCGGGGAUCCCGUGCCCGACGACGGAGCGUCCUCCGAGCUUCCCGGGAUGUUCUUCAAUUAUGUGGACAGUCUCCUUCCGUACGGGUACGUCCGAGCUCAGUCGAACGGCGUCGCCUUGCGUCAAGACGGGUUUGACGUCUAUG